UCAUCAAAAAGAAGGUUUAAACCCUAAUUUUUUGUAAUUUCCAAAUCACGACACCAGCAUCUGCGGUGUCAACGACAACUACGCGAUCGCGGCGGUUUGUCACCUUCACGUAAGGUUUAUUUCGGAAAUAGAGGCAAAAAAUUUAUUGCUCUAGGAAAAAGGUGCAGUUCUAUUGGAGAAUCCGUUCAUAUGUACAAGGCGAAAUCUGAAAUCAAGUAUGCCAUGAAAAGCUAUGGAAAUUUUAUUUCAAGACUAACCCUAAGGCUAUGUUUGGAUUGCUAGAAGAGAACCGAGCGGAAUGAAUUAAAAUUUAGUGGAACGGAAUGAAUUAAAAAUACCAUUUUAUUGCUUGGGUAAUUUAUAAAAAGAUAAUAUUUCAUUCCAUUUUUUGAAAAGAGAAUGGAAUAGAAUAAGUUAUAACUUUUCAUUUCUUAUAUUAUUUUUAUUUUCUUUUUAUGAUGACUACUGAGUGAUGUGUUUAUGGACAUUUAAAAAUAUUGUUUACUCAAUUUAGUCACUGCAACAAAGACAAUCCUAUCAUUCA